AUGUACGAUAUGCUCACGCCGGAGCACCGGAGGCAGAUCGCGAAGGAGAUCCAAUCAAGGCGCGCCGCCCGCAUAGUUCUCGGGCUGCCUUCGAACUUACCGGAGCCGGAGGAGAAGCAGGGGCAGCAGCCGGAGGAGGAGGAGGGGGAGGAGGAGGAGGAGGAGGGAGAGCAGCUCCCGGAGCCGAUGAAGGUGGCAGAUCCGGAGGAGGCCAAGGCGGAGCAGCCUGCUUCGGGGUUCAUCAUGGCAGAGGCGGAGGCGGAGUUCGCAGUCGUCCAAGCCACGGUGAUGGCAGAGCAGCAUGCUAUUCUGGAGUCCAUCCAAAAUGAGGUCUAUGUGGAGGCCAACUGGCAGUUCCUCCGGCUGGAGCAGACAGCGACCGACGUGCUCUUCGUCGAACUUGACACAGAGAUAGAGGAGGAGGAUGCCGGAGCGAAGGAGCCGGAGCUGCAGCUGCCGUCUAUGUACCCGGAGGCAGGACAGAGAUAG
rnacentral:rRNA from 1 species